UACGGAGGGUGCAAGCGUUGUCCGGAAUUAUUGGGCGUAAAGCGAACGUAGGCGGUUUCUUAAGUCUGGUCUUAAAGACCGGGGCUCAACCCCGGGAGUGGACCGGAUACUGGGAAGCUAGAGGAUGUCAGAGGAAAGUGGAAUUCCAAGUGUAGCGGUGAAAUGCGUAGAUAUUUGGAGGAACACCAGUGGCGAAAGCGGCUUUCUGGGACAUUCCUGACGCUGAGGUUCGAAAGCUCGGGGAGCAAACAGG
rnacentral:misc_RNA from 1 species